UACAGAGGGUGCAAGCGUUAAUCGGAAUUACUGGGCGUAAAGCGUGCGUAGUCGGUUAUUUAAGUCGGGUGUGAAAGCCCCGGGCUCAACCUGGGAAUUGCAUUCGAUACUGGAUAGCUAGAGUUCGGCAGAGGGAAGCGGAAUUUCCGGUGUAGCGGUGAAAUGCGUAGAGAUCCGGAAGAACACCGGUGGCGAAGGCGGCCUGCUGGGCUAUGGCUGACACUGAGGCGCGACAGCGUGGGGAGCAAACAGGG
rnacentral:rRNA from 1 species